UACGUAGGGUGCGAGCGUUGUCCGGAAUUAUUGGGCGUAAAGAGCGUGUAGGCGGUUCGGUAAGUCUGCCGUGAAAACCCAGGGCUCAACCCUGGGCGUGCGGUGGAUACUGCCGGGCUAGAGGGUGGUAGAGGCGAGUGGAAUUCCCGGUGUAGCGGUGAAAUGCGCAGAUAUCGGGAGGAACACCAGUAGCGAAGGCGGCUCGCUGGGCCACACCUGACGCUGAGACGCGAAAGCGUGGGGAGCAAACAGG
rnacentral:rRNA from 1 species